rnacentral:tRNA from 1 species
GGGGAUUUAGCUUAGUGGUUCUAGCGCCUGCCUUGCAAGCAGGAGGACCUGAGUUCAAUCCCCA